rnacentral:miRNA from 1 species
AAAAUGCGUCAAGAUUUGCUGC